ACUACUUAUAAAUACACAUCAGUCCCUACGCAAAUUAUUCAAACCUCUCCCAAUCAAUCAAACAAUCGGCAACAAUGUCUACGGAGGAGCUUCCGCGGCGAGAGAUCCCGGGAUCAGUCGGGCUCCCCUUCUUCGGGCUAUUAAUUAACUGCAACAUUCAACAAAGUGACCGUUCGGAGCCGAAGGGAGUAAGUUUGUUGGGCGGUUUUGAGCUUGCAUAUAUUAGCUCAUGUGUCAGUUAGAAACACACACAUUCUACAUUCUUGAGCAAGAAGAUAGUGUUCAAGUUGGAUAAAAAAUAGCCAUAGCAGAUUCGGUUAGUUUGGUUCUGUUCAAUCGAGUUUUUGAGCUGAGUCUUUGGUGUUUGUUUGUGGUGUUCUUGUAUACCAAUCUCCAUUUGUAGUUCGAUCUAUCAUCAAUAAAAUCGUUGCUACAGUUUUCCGUGGAUAUAGGAUUAAUCUGAACCACGUA